rnacentral:rRNA from 1 species
CCUACGGGCUGCAGCAGUGGGGAAUAUUGGGCAAUGGGCGCAAGCCUGACCCAGCAACGCCGCGUGAAGGAAGAAGGCUUUCGGGUUGUAAACUUCUUUUAAGGGGGAAGAGCAGAAGACGGUACCCCUUGAAUAAGCCACGGCUAACUACGUGCCAGCAGCCGCGGUAAUACGUAGGUGGCAAGCGUUGUCCGGAUUUACUGGGUGUAAAGGGCGUGCAGCCGGAGAGACAAGUCAGCUGUGAAAUCCACGGGCUCAACCCGUGAACUGCAUUUGAAACUGUUUCCCUUGAGUGUCGGAGAGGUAAUCGGAAUUCCUUGUGUAGCGGUGAAAUGCGUAGAUAUAAGGAAGAACACCAGUGGCGAAGGCGGAUUACUGGACGAUAACUGACGGUGAGGCGCGAAAGCGUGGGGAGCAAACAGGAUUAGAUACCCGUGUAGUC